CAAAUUAAAUUUCCUUUCUUCCUAGUUUAUGUGUGAACCUUAUGCAAACCAUGCAAGAUUUAAGUAGAUAUGGUCCCCUCAUAUGCUCUCCUAGCACUCGUACACCCACCCCUUUUGGCUCAUGGGUUUGAUGCUUUACUCCUCACAGUCAGAGAGAUAGUCCCCCACUCUCCCAGGGCCCAGCCUAAGAAAGUAUUUAAUGCUCCUACAAUAUAUAUGGAAACACUCACUAACUUGUCUGCAAAACUGCAUGGUUCUCUUCUUGGCGUGACAAUAUUCAAUUUGCAUCAUCAGGGACCACUCCUUACAUUUUCCAUAUAUAAAUUUUGUUUUUAUUUAUUUUUUCCCUGUAGCCCGCUUUCUCAAUCUUCACAGUCCUCCUAUAUUCCAUCAACAACAAAAAAUAAAAAUCAAAUUAAUGAUAAAAUAAUCCUGAUAAUUCAUAACUCCCCUUCAAUCCCCUCCUCAUCCUUCUAUUUAUACCUCCUUCAUCCUCUCACCCUCUUCAUACCCUCUCAUCUCCUGCUGUUCUUAAAGUACUAGCUAUAACAUAUGCUAGCUAGCUCUUCUGACUGUGCAUCUUCUUAUCGUGCACCUCUAUCAGUUGAAGCUGCCAGCAUGAUCUUAGCCUUCCUCCUUUGUUGAGGAAAGAAACAGAUCAUGUGGCAGUUUCACCUGUUGUUGGUAUCACGAGAAACCCUAAUUCCAAAUAAAACCUAAUCAAUUUCCUUUCUUACAUGGCUAGCUAGCUAAUAUUAGGGUUCUCCUUGUCCAAUCCCUAGAAAGGAUUUUUGCGUCUCGGUACAGUUCGACGAUUUCAAGAUCCGUCCUGAUGCUUUGGUGAUUGAGCCCUGAGGUUCCUAUAAGUAGCCUGCCGUACGGAUCUUGUUAAUUAAUUUGGUAAGCCCCUUCUAUUUCCUGUAGAUUAUAUAUGUACUAUAUCUUAUUUUUCUUUGUUUGGGGUUUAUAACACGGUUAUAUGAAUUGAUUCCGGCUUAGAUUAGCGGCAACAAAUUUCAAAAUAGCAGCGCUCAUUUUAGGGUUUCAAAAACAUCUUAUAUGCACCUUCCCAUCAUUACCUUUAUUUUAAGUUGAUUUGGAAUAUAAGCUCACCUUACUAGUCUGGCUAGGGUUUCUGUGAAGUGCAUUCCUUUCUAAUUUAACAACUCGCAAAUCAAAGUGUGUAUGUGUGUGUGAGAUCAGAGAAAAGGAGAGAAGUCAAUGAUUUCUUUAAAUUUUGUGCGUUGUUGAGACAAACACUGUUUUUUCUCUCAAUUAAUCGAGUUACAGAUUCAUGAUAUAGAAAGCAAGUUUUUUUCUUGUUAUGUUUUGAAAAACUUGCUCUUGUAUUCCUUCGUUGUUUCCUGUUUCAGGUUCUCAUGAUGUUGGUUAAUUUAUCCAGUCUUCUCACUUGGUGAGUUGGAUCUUGGUCAUUUUACUGCACAAAUACAAGUUACACACCCACAAACCACCCAGAGUUUUUCUGGGAAGCAAUUGAGAUCUUAAGAUGUCAUCAUUUGAGAUUGGUCAAGAAGAGAGCACUCGGUAUUUUUUAUGUGCGUGUGAUUUUGCAAUUUUGAGUCGUGUAAGAUUUCAUGAAAUUAAACAGUAAGAUUGAGAGACUGCUUGAAAUUUGGAGAAUAUAUCUGGUACAGAAAUAGAAUAGUAAGCUUGUCCUAUUUGAAAAAGUUAUUUCUUUAACAUUUUAUAGAUCAUCUCGUGGAUCUCUUAUCUCUUGUAGCUUAAAGAUUCACAAUGAUGAAAGCAUGGGUUUCUUUUCAUACAUAUUCUUUGAAGUUCCUUAUCUGUUCUGAUCACUUCCGUGUAUAUCUCUUCCAAGUUUGAUGAUGAAGAAGAAGAAGAAAACAAUGGUGACGAUGACAGUGAGAGGGAUUAUUAAAGAUGACAACCUCUUAGUCUUUAGUUUGAAUAGCUAGGAGAUAUCUUGUCUUAGGUACUAACAGAGGGUUUGGGGAUCCAGUUGUAAAUUAUCAACAUGAAACGAAAUAAAUAACCUUAAGAAAUUCACCAAGUAUUUCCCUAGUUUCUUAAUUACAUAUGAAAAGCAAAUAGCAGAACAUUUGAGUUGCUGUAACCUUGUGGCCUCUAAAUUCCUUUUUGAUUGUUUAAUUGAUAUUAAUUUGGAUGCGUUUUGGAGAAGGCUGCGAGCUACAGCAUUAUUAGGACAAUGGUCUGGUUAGCACCAGCCCCAGCUCUGAGACUUAGACUCUAUAUUUGCGGACCACAACAAUACAGAUCGUGUGGACUGGCUAAAUUGAGCAUUAAUGGGGAGUGAACCACGGGACAAUUUAUGUUGCGAUUGAGAGAACCGCAACCCCAAACACUGCUAUAAGAUUUUACAUCCUAUUUUUUUCCUUUGUCAGCUCGCAUGCAGAAUAUUGCAAGAACAUUUGAAUCUUGAUAGAGAAAUCUGUCAAAGGAGCCCAGAUGUAGAAAUGUAACAUUUUGAAUUUUGAGAACUCACAUUUCUACGCUCCAUUGGCAUAAUUUUGGUAUGUGAUCCGUGCUUGUGUUUCAUUUUUGUCUCAAUAAAAUGUAUUCUCUCGUCGUGUUAUCAAAAAUAUCUAAACGUUGGCUUGCAUGUGAACCCCUUAAACUCAUUCCAGUCCUUAUAUUCCAUGUGCACACAAGAGUACAAAUUAAACAUUAUAGAUGUACAUAAAUACAUAUAUAUAUGAAGGUUGAUGGUUCCCAUCUAGCUAUCUCUAUCUUCCCUAUUAAAUGCACCUCUCUUUUAUCUAGACAUAUGUGCUUGCUUGCUGGCAUUUUUUUUUCAAGUACACAACAAACACACACACUGGAGAUGUUUAUGCUUAGAUACUUGAAGUCUAUAGCUCCUCUCUUGAUUGUUCAAGUUUGGCCACUCUCUUUUGGUAGGAAGAUCUAUAUGGACAAGAUUCGAUAUUGCUUUCCUUUUUCCAGAGGACUCCAGAGUGCCCAAAGAAGUAAAAACGUCAUUAAUUUGAUUUCCCCAACCAUUACCAGAGCUUGCAAUUGUCAUUUUCAUCGAGGACAUUGGGUGGAGGAUCCACUGAUGAUAAGGCCUUGUUACAUGCCAUUUUAAGGAUGCUCUUGGGAGACCAUGAUGCUGUCUAGACAACGACAAUACAACUGACUUUGUUUUCUUAAAGGGACCCGGGAAUGGUUCGCGUUUAAUUGGUGAAAGAGAGAGAUCAGUUGAAAAGGUUAGCAGCGUAUGUGCCUGUGAUGAGGUAGUGUGUUUAAAUGGAUAAAGCUUGUAUGUAUCCUGGUACUGCACAAUUCACAUGCGGAGAUAGUAUCUUUGAUAUCUUUAAUAGGGGAAUUAAUGCAUAUACUCAAUGUGAGUUAGUGCUUCUUACUUCCUUAACAUGAUGUGCCUUGCAUUUUGUUUAGUUGUUACAGUCUUCCUAGCUAGCAUCACUUGAAUUUUAGGAUAUGCUUAGCUUUCGAACGUUUGCUUAAUGUAAUUUGAUCAUCUCCAUUUUUAAGUCUUUAUUUUA